rnacentral:rRNA from 1 species
ACAGAGGGUGCAAACGUUGUUCGGAAUUACUGGGCGUAAAGCGCGUGUAGGCUGCUCGGAAAGUCGGAUGUGAAAGCCCUGGGCUCAACCUAGGAAGUGCACUCGAAACUUCCGAGCUGGAGUGCUGGAGAGGAAGGCGGAAUUCUCGGUGUAGAGGUGAAAUUCGUAGAUAUCGAGAGGAACACCGGUGGCGAAGGCGGCCUUCUGGACAGUUACUGACGCUGAGACGCGAAAGCGUGGGGAGCAAACAGGAUUAGAUACCCUGGUAGUCCACGCCGUAAACGAUGGGUGCUAGGUGUCGCGGGCUUUGACCCCUGCGGUGCCGUAGCUAACGCAUUAAGCACCCCGCCUGGGGAGUACGGCCGCAAGGCUA